rnacentral:rRNA from 1 species
GUACACUCCUACGGGAGGCAGCAGUGGGGAAUUUUGGACAAUGGGCGAAAGCCUGAUCCAGCAAUGCCGCGUGGGUGAAGAAGGCCUUCGGGUUGUAAAGCUCUUUUGUCAGGGAAGAAACGGUGAAAGCUAAUAUCUUUUGCUAAUGACGGUACCUGAAGAAUAAGCACCGGCUAACUACGUGCCAGCAGCCGCGGUAAUACGUAGGGUGCAAGCGUUAAUCGGAAUUACUGGGCGUAAAGCGUGCGCAGGCGGUUUUGUAAGUCUGAUGUGAAAUCCCCGGGCUCAACCUGGGAAUUGCAUUGGAGACUGCAAGGCUAGAAUCUGGCAGAGGGGGGUAGAAUUCCACGUGUAGCAGUGAAAUGCGUAGAUAUGUGGAGGAACACCGAUGGCGAAGGCAGCCCCCUGGGUCAAGAUUGACGCUCAUGCACGAAAGCGUGGGGAGCAAACAGGAUUAGAUACCCUAGUAGUCCCA